UACAUGAUCUACAACUAUUGUACUGAUCUCAAGCGUUUCCCUCAGGGCCUGCCUCCAGAGUGCUCCUUGGCCUGAAGAGUGAAGAAAAAGAGCGAAGAUCAUUCUUUAAUUCAUUCAUUAUUAGAUAUAUAGAUCUUAGCAACAUAUCUUUUAGUGUCUUUUUUGUCCUAGACAGAUAGCAUUAUAUGCGGAAUUAUAUUCUCAUUGCAAUGUGAUACCAUGAAUUGAAUGAAAGCACCAUAUAGGUGUUGCAUUCAAAAGUUUAGCAGAUAUUUAUUCACUUGUUUCUUUUUCAAUUACUGCUUUGCGAUGAAGCGUAUAACUGAAGAAAAAGAUGAGAACAUGAACUUGCCACCACUGCAAAGAAAGAAUAAUGCAGAAAUAGCAAGUGAAGCGUGAAUUGGUUUCAAAUUUUGAUGUCCUUUAAUCAAAAUUAGACUAAUCUGAACUAGUUAUCAUGAAACAUGGGAACAAAAAUAAAAAUUAUCCCGCAUGAUAAAUAACAGCGGGUUCACCAUUAUGGUCUGUAUCUAAUGGAUGAUCUUGUAUCGAUACGAGCUCAGCAGCAACUUCAUCGAUUGUGUUGUAGGUGAUGUCAUUGAGUGCUGUCCAAGCUCAAAAGAUUGCCUAUGGCUGACACAAGGACUAGACAUUGUUAAACACAAGACAAUCAAACAUAUUACAUGUUUUACGGAGAGAAGAGUCCUUUCUUUGAAUCAUUGAGCCAAGUACUUGGGCAAGGGGUAAUUGGAUAUGCUCAAUUAUUCCUAUCUUUAAGUGGCCACUAGCCAAGGAACAAAGAUUAUUCUCCCCACAAGGGAACACAGCUCGUUCUCAGUUCAACACUAAGUUGACCAGAACCACAUUACCAGCUAGAGUAAAUAAAACAUUACGCCAGUAUAAGAGCUCAACCAUCGGCAUAAACCAAAUGCGCAACCAUUUCAACAUUAUAUAACCAGAAUGUCUCUCUAGCUAGCAUGUCACAAGCAUUCCAGCAAACAGUUUGUAAUCCCAAUCACGAUGAUGGCGACAGGGUGAUGCUGGUGAUAAUGAUGUAAUAAUAACAAGAUAGAUAAGAAUGAUGACGAAAGCAAUGGAAGGAGAACCUAACUCUAAAUUUUAUCGCCGUUGAUUCUUCGAUUCUCUACCUCGUCAGUUAGCAGAAACAAGUGACGAAUGUUCAUUAAGAGAUAUAUACAUUGCUGGAUUUGCAUCGAGUCCUGGGCAAAGCAUAUACCGCACGAUUAGUACGAGUAUGCGUACAGCUUGCGAGACCAGCUCGUUCUCGGUCUUCCUCCCCCGCCCGCCUCUUU
rnacentral:lncRNA from 1 species